AGGCAGCAGUGGGGAAUAUUGGUCAAUGGGCGCAAGCCUGAACCAGCCAUGCCGCGUGCAGGAAGACGGCCCUAUGGGUUGUAAACUGCUUUUGUCAGGGAAUAAACCCCCGCUCGUGAGCGGGGCUGAAGGUACCUGAAGAAUAAGCAUCGGCUAACUCCGUGCCAGCAGCCGCGGUAAUACGGAGGAUGCAAGCGUUAUCCGGAUUCAUUGGGUUUAAAGGGUGCGCAGGCGGAUUGGUAAGUCAGGGGUGAAAUCCCACAGCUCAACUGUGGAACUGCCUUUGAUACUGUCAGUCUAGAGUAUAGUUGAAGUUGGCGGAAUGUGUCAUGUAGCGGUGAAAUGCUUAGAUAUGACACAGAACACCGAUCGCGAAGGCAGCUAGCUAAGCUAUAACUGACGCUCAUGCACGAAAGCGUGGGGAUCAAACAGGAUUAGAUACCCCGGUAG
rnacentral:rRNA from 1 species